rnacentral:rRNA from 1 species
UGCCAGCCGCCGCGGUAAGACGUAGGUGGCGAGCGUUAUUCGGAUUUACUGGGCGUAAAGGGUCCGUAGGGGGUUAAUCAAGUUCGAUGUGAAAGCCAACGGCUCAACCGUUGAAUUGCAUUGAAAACUGGUUGACUAGAGUACAGGAGAGGAAAGCGGAAUUCUGAGUGUAGCGGUGGAAUGCGUAGAUAUUCAGAGGAACGCCGAAGGCGAAGGCAGCUUUCUGGACUGUUACUGACCCUGAGGGACGAAAGUUAGGGGAGCGAACAGGAUUAGAUA